GUUUACUGCUUAUAUACAUUAAUUUAUACGAUUAUUUGCUGAAAAUAUGAAAUGCUGCGUGAUAUUAAUCUUAUUCGGUGUGGCAGCCCAGCUGAAUGCCUCGGCCAUACAGCCGGCCAACGUCUCUGAAGAUGGGGAUAGCAUACGCGUCUCUAGGAGUGCAGAAGGCGGUGCUGAAGAUGAGGGGAGUGUCGACAGCAAGCGUGAUUCAGAGGAGUCAGAGAUAGACUCGGCCAUGAGUCGUCGUAGCAAUGAGGGCGGGUAUGUUUACCAUAG